GCGGCAUGCCUUACACAUGCAAGUCGAACGGCAGCACGGGUGCUUGCACCUGGUGGCGAGUGGCGAACGGGUGAGUAAUACAUCGGAACAUGUCCUGUAGUGGGGGAUAGCCCGGCGAAAGCCGGAUUAAUACCGCAUACGAUCUGAGGAUGAAAGCGGGGGACCUUCGGGCCUCGCGCUAUAGGGUUGGCCGAUGGCUGAUUAGCUAGUUGGUGGGGUAAAGGCCUACCAAGGCGACGAUCAGUAGCUGGUCUGAGAGGACGACCAGCCACACUGGGACUGAGACACGGCCCAGACUCCUACGGGAGGCAGCAGUGGGGAAUUUUGGACAAUGGGCGAAAGCCUGAUCCAGCAAUGCCGCGUGUGUGAAGAAGGCCUUCGGGUUGUAAAGCACUUUUGUCCGGAAAGAAAUCCUUGGUUCUAAUAUAGCCGGGGGAUGACGGUACCGGAAGAAUAAGCACCGGCUAACUACGUGCCAGCAGCCGCGGUAAUACGUAGGGUGCAAGCGUUAAUCGGAACUACUGGGCGUAAAGCGUGCGCAGGCGGUUUGCUAAGACCGAUGUGAAAUCCCCGGGCUCAACCUGGGAACUGCAUUGGUGACUGGCAGGCUAGAGUAUGGCAGANGGGGGUAGAAUUCCACGUGUAGCAGUGAAAUGCGUAGAGAUGUGGAGGAAUACCGAUGGCGAA
rnacentral:rRNA from 1 species